rnacentral:tRNA from 1 species
GCCUGGUUGGCUCAGUGGGUAGAGUAUGUGACUCAUAAUCUCAGGGUGGUGAGUUCAAGCCCCAUGUUGGGCG